UGAGGAAUAUUGGUCAACGGGCGCAAGCCUGAACCAGCCAUCCCGCGUGCAGGAAGACGGCCCUAUGGGUUGUAAACUGCUUUUCCAGGGGGAGAAUUUUUCUGUCGUGACAGGAAUUGACGGUACCCUGGGAAUAAGCAUCGGCUAACUCCGUGCCAGCAGCCGCGGUAAUACGGAGGAUGCGAGCGUUAUCCGGAUUUAUUGGGUUUAAAGGGUGCGUAGGCGGAUUGAUAAGUCAGUGGUGAAAACCUGCAGCUUAACUGUAGACUUGCCGUUGAUACUGUCAGUCUUGAGUAUGGUCAAGGUAGGCGGAAUGUGUAAUGUAGCGGUGAAAUGCUUAGAUAUUGCACAGAACACCGAUUGCGAAGGCAGCUUACUGGGCCAUUACUGACGCUGAUGCACGAAAGCGUGGGGAUCGAACAG
rnacentral:rRNA from 1 species